GACCUCGUGGCGCAAUGGCAGCGCGUCUGACUCCAGAUCAGAAGGUUGCGUGUUCAAGUCACGUCGAGGUCA
rfam:Camelus ferus unplaced genomic scaffold scaffold2145, whole genome shotgun sequence.